rnacentral:misc_RNA from 1 species
CUAGCAGCAGCCGGUGAUUCCA